CACCUGUUAGGUCAGACUGCAUGAGAAGAUGUCUCUACCAUGUCCGAGAUCUGAGCUAGACUUUGUAUUAUGAUCAUACAUUUUGCUGUGCCAGUGUUGAGGCCCAUCAGGACCUGUCCCUCCAGCAGAUAGGCCACACGUUGGUCCUCCACCCUCAGUAAAUCCUGGACCAGUGUCGCCCUCCCAGAGUGCAAAGAACCUUGGCGUGAUCCUGGACAGCACCCUGCCGUUCUCUGCAAACAUCAAAGGAGUGACCCGCUCACGCAGGUUCAUGCUCUACAACAUCUGUAAAGUACAUCCCUACCUCACACAGGAAGCGCUGCAGAUCCUAAUCCAGGCACGUGUCCUCUCCCGUCUGGACUACUACAACUCGCUGUUGGCUGGGCUUGUGCCAUCAAACCCCUGCAACUUAUCCAGAACACGACAGCCUACCUGGUUUUCAGCCUUCCCAAGUUCUCCCAUGUCACCCCGUUUCUCCGCACAUUCGACUGGCUUCCCCCGAAGCUAGGACAGCAGAGUCCCUGCUGGAAAACAUCUGAAACCCUACCUCUUCAAAUAGUACUUUAAAUAAUCCUACCCCCCAAAACAAUAAAAAAAUAACACUUAACCAGAACUUGCACUUGACCCCCCUUUCAAACUAUUGAAAUAACUGAUUACUUUUAUGACCCACAAUCAAAUAGUGGAUCAAACCUAAUCCCUAUUGUUGCUCUGUUUACCAAUCUGAGACAAUUUAAUUUAGACUUGCACAGUGUAACUUUCCAUUACCACCAAGACGCAUUAGACUCACUGUAAUCACUGUCUUCAAAGGUAAUUUCACAUGAAAGUACGGUACAUGAAGUUUGUAUAAUACAAACAGAAACUACCUUGACACCAGAUACGUUUCCCAAUGAGAGGAAAGGGGCUCCUUAACACACUGGCAUGCCCUUUGACCUUUCUGAGCUGUGAGACAGUCAAUAGGGAAGUCACAGUCCUCAGUAAUGACACUGGGUGCAAUUACGGUUGGCCAUGGCUGCUUUCACAAUGCUCAUCAGGAAAGAAUGCCAAAAGUCAGGCAAACAUAGACCAGAGAAAGGGAACAGCCACUCCCCAAUCAAUUCUGCUGGAGACCUAAUAUGAGAAAUGCUUAAUAUAUCUUAACUAUAAUUUGGGUGGGAGGUGAGGAGAGGGGGUACAACGGACUGUUCCUAAAGCCUCUCUAAUGGGGGUGCUGUGGGGAGGGCUUCUCUCCAUUGAUCAACAUAUCUCAGUGGAUAAUUAAACCUACUGAGAGCUCUCACUCUCUAAUUUUCUAUCACACACACAAAUAAAAAUCUACACACACAAAAUACACACAUACUGUGCAUAAUCAUACACAUACAC